CAAGCCGAUGCCUCAAGUUCAUGGAACGAAUUGCAAAGAUAUGAGGUUGAAUAUGUGCUGUGAUGGACGAUGGUCGACGCCCAGUUGAAUAAUACUUUCUGCACCGUCGGGUCUUCAGGGAAAGUCCAGCUUUCGAAUAUGAAGUGUCAAGGCCAGAGACGAAACUGAGGCGGGCCAAAAUCCGGCUCGCUUGAUACCCAUCCUUUCGGCAACUUCCAGUGCCCAUCCGGCAGUAAGGUCUGCAAUUACAAAGUUGAUCUGCUCAUCUUCAUUGCCCUUUGACUGCUGCUUCACUUUCUCAAUGAACUCCUGCAAAUAACCUGGCAUCACUCUUGAUAUGCUCUCCAGCAGCUUCACCCAGUCCUUGCGCUCCUCGUCAGUCUCGAGCCCAUCUGGAAAUGCAACGAAAUCAAUCGGAUUCAAUCCAUCAUCUAGCUGGUUUGCGGCCAUCACUUGCGUAUGAACAGACUCGGUGUUCACAACGGUAACCUUGAUGCCAUGAUCAGCAAUACAGUGGGACAGUUUCAGGAGAGGAGUGACAUGACCUUGUGCAGGAAAUGGUAUACAUAGGACAUGUUUUAGCUCUGCCAUUGUUGACAACAAAUGAGGGACAGUUCCUUCGCACGCUUUCUACUGGCUUCUUAAAGCUCAGAUUCGACUGUAGGGACUUUGGUACUAGGCUUUCUGUAGAUUUAUCUUUGUCCGUCUAACACAAAGAACAGAAGCUGCGGCGGCAACAAGGAUUAAAAACAACUGCCAGCGAUUUCUCUACGGCAGGUUUGUUUUUUUCACGUCUGCAUUUUGUUAUCAACAAAUUGACUCUCUCCA